ensembl:lncRNA
CAGGAAGCUGUUAGUUUCACCUGUCCUCUGCCUUCAGGUAACUAUAGACAGGAAGCUGUUAGUUUCACCUGUCCUCUGCCCUCAGGUAACUAUAGACAGGAAGCUGUUAGUUUCACCUGUCCUCUGCCUUCAGGUUACUAUAUACAGGGAGCAGUUAGUUUCACCUGUCCACUGCCUUCAGGUUACUAUAGACAGGAAGCUGUUAGUUUCACCUGUCCACUGCCUUCAGGUUACUAUAUAGAGGAAGCUGCAGUCCUGUCCACUACCUUCAGGUUACUAUAUAGAGGAAGCUCCUGUCCUGUCCACUACCUUCAGGUUACUAUAUAGAGGAAGCUCCUGUCCUGUCCACUACCUUCAGGUUACUAUAUAGAUGAAGCUCCUGUCCUGUCCACUACCUUCCGGUUACUAUAUAGAGGAAGUUGCUCUCCUGUCCACUACCUUCAGGUUACUAUAUAGAGGAAGCUGCUGUCCUGUCCACUACCUUCAGGUUACUAUAUAGAGGAAGCUGCUGUCCUGUCCACUGUCUUCAGGAUACUAUAUAGAGGAAGCUGCUGUCCUGUCCACUACCUUCAGGUUACUAUAUAGAGGAAGCUGCUGUCCUGUCCACUACCUUCAGGUUACUAUAUAGAGGAAGCUAAGAGAGAGAAUCUUAUUUAACCCUUUAGUUGCGUCCCCCUCAGCCCUACUUUAUUAAGAAUUAUAUUUUUAUGAGCUUCUUCUGGUCCAUGCUCUAACUCAGGCCCUACAGUCCGCAGGUGUGUGUGAGACAGGUGUGUGUGAGACAGGUGUGUGUGAGAGACAGGUGUGUGUGAGAGACAGGUGUGUGUGAGAGACAGGUGUGUGUGAGCUGUGUGUAAGACAGGUGUUUGUGAGAUAGCUGUGUGUAAGACAGGUGUGUGUGAGAUAGCUGUGUGUAAGACAGGUGUGUGUGAGAGCUGUGUGUAAGACAGGUGUGUGUGAGAGCUGUGUGUAAGACAGGUGUGUGUGAGAUAGCUGUGUGUAAGACAGGUGUGUGUGAGACAGGUGUGUGUGAGACAGGUGUGUGUGAGAUAGCUGUGUGUGAGACAGCUGUGUGUGUGAGAGCUGUGUGUGAGACAGGUGUGUGUGAGAGGUGUGUGUGUGAGAUAGCUGUGUGUGAGACAGGUGUGUGUGAGAGCUGUGUGUGAGAUAGCUGUGUGUGAGAUAGCUGUGUGUGAGAUAGCUGUGUGAGACAGGUGUGUGUGAGAGCUGUGUGUGAGACAGGUGUGUGUGAGAUAGGUGUGUGUGAGACAGCUGUGUGUGAGACAGGUGUGUGUGAGACAGCUGUGUGUGAGACAGCUGUGUGUGAGACAGGUGUGUGUGAGACAGGUGUGUGUGAGACAGGUGUGUGUGAGACAGCUGUGUGUGAGACAGGUGUGUGUGAGACAGGUGUGUGUGAGACA